rnacentral:rRNA from 1 species
UACAGAGGUCUCAAGCGUUGUUCGGAUUCAUUGGGCGUAAAGGGUGCGUAGGCGGCGCGGUAAGUCGGGUGUGAAAUCUCCGAGCUUAACUUGGAAACUGCCGUUGAUACUAUCAAUCUUGAAUAUCGCGUAGGUAAGCGGAAUAUGUCAUGUAGCGGUGAAAUGCUUAGAUAUGACAUAGAACACCAAUUGCGAAGGCAGCUUACUUCACGAUCAUUGACACUGAGGCACGAAAGCGUGGGGAGCAAACAGG